ensembl:lncRNA
CCAAGAGACAUUUGUGUCCCUGAUGAUAAGGAAAAAUGUCUGGAACAGUGGGAGCCCUAAUCAUAUUAUUUUACAGUAUUGCAGAGGUAUCACAAUCUGUCCACGUGAACCUCACAGCCACUGUCGGACAGAACGUCACUCUGCCAUGUCGAGCUCCAAACAACAAGCUGAUCGGAGUUGUAGAGUGGAACAGAGCUGACCUGGAGGAUCAGUAUGUGUUUUUGUUCCUGGACGAUCAUACUGAUGCAGCCAAUCAGCAUCCAUCUUUUAAGGGCCGGGUGGAUCUGCAGGACAGACAGAUGAAGGAUGGAAAUGUGUCUUUGAUUCUGAUCGAUGUGAACAUUAAUGACACUGGAACAUACGAGUGUCGUAUCAAGACAGGAACAAAUCGCAAGAGGAGAGCUCAUCUGAAGACCGAGCCCAUCAGCAUCAUCUACCUGAGUGUUGUUGAUCCUCCAGGUCAGCCAGGAGGAACUGCUGGACGGACAGUUGGUCUGUCAGUGUUUGCGUUCUUGUUGCUGUUCUUCUUUUGAAUUAAAAAAAAAUGUAAAAAAUAGAAAACAUCCUCUUCGUG